CUCAGGUCGUCCGAGUUGUAGUCUAGAGAAUCGUUUUCCGCGUUGGCCUGUGUACAAGUCCCUUGGAACAGGGCGUCAUAGAGGGUGAGAAUCCCGUCCUUGACACAGAUUACCAAUGCUUUGUGAUGCGAUCUCGAAGAGUCGAGUUGUUUGGGAAUGCAGCUCAAAAUGGGUGGUAAAUUCCAUCUAAAGCUAAAUAUUGGCGAGAGACCGAUAGCGAACAAGUACCGUGAGGGAAAGAUGAAAAGCACUUUGGAAAGAGAGUUAAACAGUACGUGAAAUUGUUAAAAGGGAAACGAUUGAAGUCAGUCAUGCUUUCCGAGACUCAGCCGAUUCUGUCGGUGUACUUCUCGGUUGGCAGGCCAGCAUCAGUUUCGAUCUGUGGAAAAGGUUGGAGGGAACGUGGCAUCUCCGGAUGUGUUAUAGCCCUUCUUCGAAUACAUAGAGCGGGACUGAGGAACGCAGCGCGCCUUUUAUUAGGUUGGCCCUCGGGUACAUACGCGCUUAGGAUGCUGGCAUAAUAACUUUAAACGACCCG
rnacentral:rRNA from 1 species